rnacentral:rRNA from 1 species
GCGGCGGACGGGUUAGUAACGCGUGGGAACGUACCCAGAUCUAAGGAAUAGCCACUGGAAACGGUGAGUAAUACCUUAUACGCCCUUCGGGGGAAAGAUUUAUCGGAUUUGGAUCGGCCCGCGUUAGAUUAGGUAGUUGGUGGGGUAAUGGCCUACCAAGCCUACGAUCUAUAGCUGGUUUUAGAGGAUGAUCAGCAACACUGGGACUGAGACACGGCCCAGACUCCUACGGGAGGCAGCAGUGGGGAAUCUUAGACAAUGGGCGCAAGCCUGAUCUAGCCAUGCCGCGUGAGUGAUGAAGGCCUUAGGGUCGUAAAGCUCUUUCGCCUGUGAUGAUAAUGACAGUAGCAGGUAAAGAAACCCCGGCUAACUCCGUGCCAGCGGCCGCGGUAAUACGGAGGGGGUUAGCGUUGUUCGGAAUUACUGGGCGUAAAGCGCACGUAGGCGGAUUAGAAAGUUAGGGGUGAAAUCCCGGGGCUCAACCUCGGAACUGCCUCUAAAACUCCUAGUCUAGAGUUCGAGAGAGGUGAGUGGAAUUCCAAGUGUAGAGGUGAAAUUCGUAGAUAUUUGGAGGAACACCAGUGGCGAAGGCGGCUCACUGGCUCGAUACUGACGCUGAGGUGCGAAAGUGUGGGGAGCAAACAGGAUUAGAUACCCUGGUAGAAGGGCG